GCAGUGUCUGCAUACAGCCACCCUUGACCUGUCUGCCUGGUCUUUGCAACCUCUAGUGACUGUUGUUCCACAAUGUGUAGUGAAGAGACCUGAAUGGUUUGCACCAAAACACAAACACAAACCAUUGGGAGAGUGAUUGGUGAAGUGGUGGACAUUUACUCAGGCAAAGAAACAGGCAGCCAAGGUGGAUGGAGAGCAGAGAUGUUUCCUGUCUUCAGCUUCUUGAGAGCUCAUUGAUUGAGGCAGCAUCUCUCACAGCCUGAAGCCCAGCAAUUCAGCUUCUCUGGCUUGUCAGCAAGACUCCAGGACUCUCCUUUCUCGAUGUCCCCUGUGUUGGGAUUACAGGCCUACACAGCUAUACUUGGCUUCUCAUAUGGGCACCAGGAAACCCAGACCUUGGUGUUUGUUCAAAGGAUAAGAGCCCAUCACCAUCAAGACAGUAAAAUGGCAACAGGCAGGCAUAGUACUGGAGCAGUCACUGAGAGCUCAUGAAUUCAUCUACAAACAGAAAGAGGAGAUAACUGGAAAGGAAGCAAUGCUUUUGAAACCUCAAAGCCUGCUGCAAUGACAUACUUCCUCCAGCAAGGUCACACCUCCUAACCCUCCCUAAACAGCUACCAACUGUGAAUCAAGUACCUGCAACUUACAGAGAACAUCUCUUUGAAACCACCCAGCAUCCUUCUUGGCUAUUGUGAAUAAUGUUACAACGAACACAGUUCAGCUGCCUAUUCAAUAAAUGGAUUUAAUUUCUUUGGGAUAUAUAGAUGUAGCUUCAUUUCUUUUGCAUAUAGAUACUCUAUCCAUACAUUGUACUAAUUCUGGAUAAUAUGCUAGUUUCAGUUUUUCACUUCUGUAGGACUCUCCAUGGGCUUUCCAUUAUACAUAGACCAAUUUGCAUUCCCACCCACAGUGAAUAAAGAUUCCUUUAAUUUUAC
rnacentral:lncRNA from 1 species